GACGAACGCUGGCGGCGUGCUUAACACAUGCAAGUCGAACGGAAAGGCCCAGCUUGCUGGGUGCUCGAGUGGCGAACGGGUGAGUAACACGUGGGUGAUCUGCCCCUAACUUCGGGAUAAGCUUGGGAAACUGGGUCUAAUAACGGAUAGGACAAUCGUUUAGUGUCGGUUGUGGAAAGUUUUUUCGGUUAGGGAUGAGCCCGCGGCCUAUCAGCUUGUUGGUGGGGUAAUGGCCUACCAAGGCGUCGACGGGUAGCCGGCCUGAGAGGGUGGACGGCCACAUUGGGACUGAGAUACGGCCCAGACUCCUACGGGAGGCAGCAGUGGGGAAUAUUGCACAAUGGGCGCAAGCCUGAUGCAGCGACGCCGCGUGGGGGAUGACGGCCUUCGGGUUGUAAACCUCUUUCGACAGGGACGAAGCUUUGGUGACGGUACCUGUAUAAGAAGCACCGGCUAACUACGUG
rnacentral:rRNA from 1 species